rnacentral:misc_RNA from 1 species
GAUGAAGAACGCAGCAAAAUGCGAUAAGUAAUGUGAAUUGCAGAAUUCAGUGAAUCAUCGAAUCUUUGAACGCACAUUGCGCCCGCCAGUAUUCUGGCGGGCAUGCCUGUUCGAGCGUCAUUUCAACCCUCAAGCUCAGCUUGGUGUUGGGACUCGCGGUAACCCGCGUUCCCCAAAUCGAUUGGCGGUCACGUCGAGCUUCCAUAGCGUAGUAAUCAUACACCUCGUUACUGGUAAUCGUCGCGGCCACGCCGUAAAACCCCAACUUCUGAAUGUUGACCUCGGAGCAGGUAGGAAUACCCGCUGAACUUAAGCAUAUCAAUAAGCGGAGGA